rnacentral:rRNA from 1 species
CGGGGGGGGCAAGCGUUGUUCGGAAUUACUGGGCGUAAAGGGCGCGUAGGCGGCUCACUAAGUCGGAUGUGAAAACUCUGGGCUCAACCCAGAGCCUGCAUCCGAAACUGGUGGGCUAGGGUGCUGGAGGGGAAAGCGGAAUUCCUGGUGUAGCCGUGAAAUGCGUAGAUAUCAGGAGGAACACCGGUGGCGAAGGCGGCUUUCUGGACAGUAACCGACGCUGAGGCGCGAAAGCUAGGGGAGCAAACAGGAUUAGAUACCCUGGUAGUCCUAGCCCUAAACGAUGGAUACUUGCUGUGAGGGGGAUUGAAUCCCUUCGUGGCGAAGCUAACGCAUUAAGUAUCCCGCCUGGGGAGUACGGUCGCAAGGCUG